rnacentral:ncRNA from 16 species
GGCAGAGUAGGUGGCUAUGCGUAAAUAGUGCUUAAGGAUGGGACGUUGCCUUAAGACGAAAUGCCUAUCAGGCUGCGGUAUAGCCACCGCGUCCGCUGUC